rnacentral:rRNA from 1 species
CCUACGGGGGGCAGCAGUGGGGAAUAUUGCGCAAUGGGGGGAACCCUGACGCAGCAACGCCGCGUGAAGGAAGAAGGCUUUCGGGUCGUAAACUUUUGUCUUUAGGGAAGAAGGAAGUGACGGUACCUAAGGAGGAAGCCACGGCUAACUACGUGCCAGCAGCCGCGGUAAUACGUAGGUGGCGAGCGUUGUCCGGAUUUACUGGGUGUAAAGGGCGUGUAGGCGGGUAUGCAAGUCAGAUGUGAAAUACCGGGGCUCAACUCCGGGGCUGCAUUUGAAACUGUGUAUCUUGAGUGCAGGAGAGGGAAGUGGAAUUCCUAGUGUAGCGGUGAAAUGCGUAGAUAUUAGGAGGAACACCAGUGGCGAAGGCGACUUCCUGGACUGCAACUGACGCUGAGGCGCGAAAGCGUGGGUAGCGAACAGGAUUAGAUACCCUGGUAGUCCACGCUGUAAACGAUGGAUACUAGGUGUAGGAGGUAUCGACCCCUUCUGUGCCGGAGUUAACACAAUAAGUAUCCCACCUGGGGAGUACGGCCGCAAGGUUGAAACUCAAAGGAAUUGACGGGGGCCCGCACAAGCAGUGGAGUAUGUGGUUUAAUUCGAAGCAACGCGAAGAACCUUACCAGGGCUUGACAUCUACCGGAUCCUGUAGAGAUACGGGAGUGCCUUUUGGAGCGGUAAGACAGGUGGUGCAUGGUUGUCGUCAGCUCGUGUCGUGAGAUGUUGGGUUAAGUCCCGCAACGAGCGCAACCCUUGUUGUUAGUUGCUACCAUUAAGUUGAGCACUCUAGCGAGACUGCCCGGUGACAAAUCGGAGGAAGGUGGGGAUGACGUCAAAUCAUCAUGCCC